ensembl:lncRNA
UAGUGAAUAACCAAAAUUAGUAACAAACAAAGUCGUAAAAUUUAUAAAAACAAAACAAAAUGACUAAAGAAAACAAAAUGACUAAAGAAAACAAAAUGAAUAAAGAAAAGAAAAAGAUUAAAGAAAAGAAAAAAAUUAAAAAAAACAAAAUAAUUGAUAAAAAUAAAAUAAAACGAAAAAAAAACGAAAUUUAUGGAAUAUGAUGAUGACGAAUCAAAAAGAAUCUUCUUAUAUGCAUAUGAACAGGAAUUAAAAAAUGAAACAAUAUGUUGGCGUAAAGCUGAAGAAUUAAAAAUAACAAAACAUAGCGCUAGUUCUAUGAGAGGACAUUACUUAAAUUCUAUAAAAAAUGAAACUUCUUUGUAUUUAGAAAUGUAUGCUGAAGAAGUAGCUAAAUUAUUUAUAAAAGUUAAAAACUGGACAAAAUUACAAAAAAGACAAACAAAAAAAUAUACUAAAUUAUCCAACUAGUGUUAUCAGACAAACAUCCAACAUAUCACUAGAUCGAAUAGCAAAAAAAAAAAAGUUGCCAUUUUAAUAAAUUUAAUUCAUUAGUAAUCAGUAAAGCAUUCUCUAUGCAAGCUAUUAAACAUAUAACAAAACAAAAAAACAAAACAGAUUAAAUUAGCUAACAAAAAAAGUAUAAUAACCGAGAAAGAUAAAGGAAAAAUUUUAAAAAAAGCAAAAACCAAAGUUGAAAUUGGAACCAAAAGUAGCGCCAAAAAUGAGGAAAAAAAAAAAAAAAAAAUAAAAAACAAAGAAAAAAAUAUAAAAAAAAAGAAGGAAAAGACAGCACCAAAAAAGAAAAAAAAGACAAUACCUCUAAAACAGACAAAGAGAAUAAAACCCCAGUAAAAAUAACCGAUGUAAAAAUUAAUAAAAAUGCCACGCAAGAGAAGAACAAAAAGAAGAAGAAAUCAAAACAAAUGUAAAUGGAAAUGGUAAAGAUAUGGAUACAGCUGUAACAGAUGCUACAUCUACUACAGCUACAACGACUGAUAUAAUAAGAGACAAUCGUAUAGACGAAUUUUUAAGAUUUGAUUCUCCUAUAAUUCGAUGUAGAAGUAGUAAUGAAUAUAUGUCGCCUAGAAAAAGGAAAUCAGAAAAUUUAUUGUAUAGUUAUAGAAGUAAAGACUUAGGAAAACAAAAACAAAAAAAAAAAAAAAAAAUUAACAGUAGGAGAAACAGUAAAAUCGAUACAUGUAUAUAUAUAUAUAUAUGUUUAUACGAAAUAAUGCGACCAAGCGGUAGGCAUAAGUAACGAUUAAAAUAGACCCGAAAAAAAAAAUAAUAACUAAUAAUAUAUACAUACUUACAUACAAAAAAAAAAAUGAAUGUGUUAUGUCAAAAAACAAAAAGACAAAUAGGAGUAGUACCUUAAAGCAACAAGCAACUGUUUUAUACAACACUAGCUUUAAUUAUAUAUAUAUAUAUACAUAUAUGUAAGUGCAUUCUUUUUUGAAUUUUUAUAUUUUAAUCAUUUUUUUUUUUUUACUUAUGUGUUCUUAUCCUUUUUUUAUUUUUUUUUUUUUACACUAUUUUUUGAAUUAUAUUCUUUUUUUACAUUUCUUAGUGUCCUUUCCUUUCUUUUUGAGUGUCUUUUUCUACGUUUCUCAGUGUCUUUUUCUUCAUUCCUUUUUUUUUUUUUUUUUUUUUUCUUCGUUCGUACUUUUUAAAUCCACUAAAUCACAAAAUUUACAGUUUCCAAUUUUUAGCAAUUAAUAAAAUAUGUUGGCAUUGAUAUGUGUAUGUAUGU